GCACCCCUCACGCCGAGUUAAAGGAGAGUUGGUAUAAAGGGAAGUGACGGUUUCGCGGCCGCCUCCACAGAGACCCAAAUGGCCCUAGGAGCAGAAAAGGGGGAAGAGUGAAAGAGUGGAAGUUGUAAGUGCAGGAGGAAGAUGAUCUUCACAGAGAAAUACUGAGUGAGGGGAGAACAGCAGUUGCACACACAGAGAAAGGGAGAAAACAGUGGAAACGUCAGGCAGCACAAUUUGCAGAACAGAGCCAGUGAGGAAGCAACGUGGAAGAGAUGGACAGACUGGGACUGAACAACUACAACACAGAAAGUAGUGCUGUGAAAGGAAACAGGAAGAGUGAAGUAGCAGACUUUUCCAACACCAGGAAGGAGCCGCAAAGAUUACAGCGACAGAACCAAGGAAAGCAGCAACGAUUGAAUAGAAGAAAACUUUGAAGUCGUUUCACGUGUGUAAGCGUGUCAGUAAAAUAAAAAAGGACAGCUGUGUCCAAGGGGGAAAAUAUGAUUUCAAUAUUUACUGAGAAAAAGCUUUCGAAAAGAAAGGGAAAUAUGUGAGAUCCGAAUAAGUUGGAAGAAUAAGCAGUUGUACGCGCUGUGGGGUGAAGAAAUUUAAUAUACAAUGCCAGGCGCGAGAAGGAAGUUUGGAGAGCUAUGUGCUUUGCUGAAAACACAUGGUGUGUGUGUGUGUGUGUGUGUCCUCGCAUCCGCUUGGGCAGACUUCAUUCUCCAACGCAGCAGUUUCAAGAAAAGGGAAAAGAUAUAAUUAGAGAGGAGGCCUGUUGAAGCCUGGAGGACCAGUGGAUAGGAUAAUUAAUGCAAAAUGACUGAUGGCUGUUGAAGAAGGCAAGUCCUGCAAAGAGGAUUGUGCGUGAUCAAUGAAGCAUCACUGACUGACAGUUUCCUUCGAUCUUACACCCAGAUCCAACUACCGGAACGAGGAUUUGUCACCAGAGGCCGGAGGCUACUCCAUGCAUGUUUGCAAUGCAAAGCCAAACGCUGGGAGGGUAAAAAGGGGAAGAAAGACAAACAAGACGUUUCUUUUUACAAAAAUAAUAUAUAAAAAAGGGCAGUUCAGGAAGAAAUUAUAGGUGUUAAAAGUAAUCAGAUAAAUGUGAGAAUGGAAAUGAUUGUUGCAAUAUUGUAUAUAAUGUGUCUAUUUAAAGUUUCCCAAUAUUA